UGAGAAGCCUUAUUCUUUACUCUGCUAU
rnacentral:piRNA from 1 species